rnacentral:lncRNA from 10 species
CAGCAGCCUGGGUGCAGCCUGCUCUGUCGGGUGACAGGCUGUAAGUGCGAGUCAGCAUCUGCUGGGUGGAUGACACCCCUCCCUUCUGACCCCAGAGCAGGGACGCGCUCACCCAACUGCGGAGGUGACUAAGGCUGGGAGAGGUGUGAUAGGCAGGAAAACAGACAUAGGCAGGGUCCAGAGUUUCCAGGUUUAAUUCUGAAAACCAGAGCCCGUCUGGGUCCAUGUGUCUGAGGUGGUGUCUUUCUCUGGUUCUGGAACUGGAUCUCUGCCCCUGCUCUUCCCUUCCUUCCUCCCUCUCCUGAGUCUGUCUCAGCUGAGUUAGUGCCCAGGGCUGUGGGUGGCUGGGCUGGCAGAGGGCAGAGUGCCAGGGUUUCAGGAAGAGAAGCACAGAUUAGUCAAGGACUGUCAGACCCAACUACAUCCCCAUGGAGCCUGGCAGUGACAUGAUUUUAGUCCACGGGCCAUUCUGAACCAGACACACUGGACUCCACUGCCUCCCAUGGGGUCUUCCCUGGGCUCUGGCCAUAGAGUGUUCCUGGAGUGCCCCCACCGACUCUGAGUGAGCACAUGGUUAGAGCAGGUGCCUACAGUUCUGGGCUCUGCACAGCCAGGGCUGGGUAGGAGCAUUGCAUGUGCCCUCCCAGCCUGGGGGAAGCAGACAGCAGCAAAUGGGAGGCUGGAGUCCUUCAUAGGUCCUGGACCCCCCAAUUCUUCUGUUCUCCAGCAUCUGGAAGGUUAUUAGAAGCAGCAGUGGAGCAGUGGCCUUAGGAAACACCCAGAACAGCCCCGUGUGUGUGUAUGUGUGUGUGUGUGUGUGUGCAUAUGUGUGUGUGUAUGCACGUGCACUUGUGCACAGAAGCUAUAACAUUGUAAGUCUGGGAGACUGCAUAUGCUCAGAGCCUUCUGUCCAUGGCCUCUGGAAGCCUGGCUAAGUGAGGCAGAUGUGAAACAAACCAGGGUUUAUUUUCUCCUAGCAGUUUGGAGUAGAGGACAGUGCCUGAAGCAAGGAUCUCAGACUCUGGGUUUCAGUGCCCCAUCUUCUCUGGUACCUCUGUGUGGUCUGCACUACCCUGCCCAGGGCCUACAUUUGAGGCCAGCAGAAGCCAGCUGAGGCAGGGUUGGAGCUGGCUCUGGACCACAGGACAGCUGCCUCUUAAGAACUCCAGACGACGCUUCACAGUCUUAAAGCAGAGGAAGGCCACAGGGUCUCAGUUGUGCUGUUCAUUCUCCCUCAGAGAACAUUCUCCCUGGAGAUGGACAGCCUGCCCAGGGUACCUGAAGCCUGAACCACUGGAGAGACCAUGGUCUUCUUACCAGCCUUUCACCUCUGAUAAAAGUUUCAAACAAAGCUGGGAGUUUGUUGACUUGUGAAGGCCAGGUGAUCUGUGGACGAUCUCAGGUCAACAGAGCUGAAGAAUGGCAGCAGUUCAGUAAAGGGACAAAGGCCACCAAAGGGAGAGGGGUCGGCAGACUUCUAUAAAGGGCCAGCGGGGAAAUAUUUUCAGCUUUUCAAGCUAAACAGUCUGUUGCCACGUCUCAAAUCUGCAGUUGCAGCGCAAAAGCAACCAUAGAUAAUAUGUAACGAACAAAUGUGGCUGUGUUCCAUUAAAACUUUAUUUUGGGGCACUGAAAUUUGAAUUUCGUAUAAUUAUCACAUGUCAUGAAAUAUUAUUCUUCUUCUCAUUUCCC